UACGAAGGGGGCUAGCGUUGCUCGGAAUUACUGGGCGUAAAGGGCGCGUAGGCGGCUAGAUGUGUCAAAGGUGAAAUCCCUCGGCUCAACUGAGGAACUGCCUUUGAAACUGUCUGGCUUGAGGCCGGGAGAGGGUAGCGGAAUUCCCAGUGUAGCGGUGAAAUGCGUAGAUAUUGGGAGGAACACCAGUGGCGAAGGCGGCUACCUGGACCGGUUCUGACGCUGAGGCGCGAAAGCGUGGGUAGCAAACAGG
rnacentral:rRNA from 1 species